ensembl:lincRNA
AUGCACACAGGCGCCUCAAGCCUGCUCCCCAGGCUCCAGACGAGCCACUGCCUCCUCACUGCCCAUCCCGCCUGUCAUUCCAGGUGGACGUCAGCAAGCCCAGGGCCCGUUCGGGGCCUCCUGUGCUUUGCCGCAUUCAGAAGCCUGGCUUUCAAAAUUUCACCCAAGGAUGACUCCAACAACGAUGGCCUCAGCUCGACCGUCUCUGGGAGCUCUAUCCAACUGUCACCUGGACCCUCCCUCCCACCUCUGCCAGAGCUUCUAGGUUCAGGAAGAACUUGGUGCAGGCCGCCUGCUUCCUGCCCAGCUGAUCCAGCAGCGAGAAAGCCUGGCUCUGGCUUCCACACCUUCUGUGCACAGCCCACCUUCACCAGCAUCGCCCCUCGGCCCUCCCCAGAACCUGUGGGCAGCGGGGCAGAGGCAGGUCUGAAACGCACACAGCAACGUGGGGGCAACUGUGUGCCCACGGCACGGGCUUCCCCCAUGUGUUCCCAGCCUGCCGGGAGGCCCUGUGCGUCCUUUGAGAAUGUGGGCGCCUGUCCCCCAUGCUGGCCCUCACGCAGACCACGCCAGGGCCGCUGAGGCCUCAUUGCAAGCGCCACCCCCGUGCCCUUCACGCUGCCCACCCCGCCCGGGACCGAGGGCCCUGCACAGCUGGCCACAGGAGGGGUAAGCGAGAGCGCAUCUCUUGACCCAAGCUCCCUGCUGCGACCCCGUGGGGACCGUGGCAAGUCCCGGCGUGGUUCCUGCCUGCUCCAUGACGAUUUGUGGACGAGACAAGUGCGGGGGCACAGCCUUGGCCUCCAGCAUCCACCCCCAGACACUGAAGCAGCUGGAGGGCUGAGAGAGACCCCCGCUCUGCGUUCUCAAACCACAGAACCCAAACCCAGUCCUGGCUUCACAGUGUUCAGACGCAGACCAGCAACUGCUGCAGAGAAAAACAUCUCAAGUCCCAGGCUGGGCAUGCCACUUCUCCCAGCACAGGGCUGGCCAGCAAGGAGAGGAGGAAAAAGGUCCCAAAGAGUUUGCAGUGGCGUCCAAGAGAGGCUGUCGCCCAAGAACCUCUCCCAGGUGGUACCUUCGGGGCUCCCCUCACCUGCCAGCCCCUCCUCGUUACGGUCUCUGCAUCUGACCUCCCUCUGCCACCCGGGGCCUCCCUGAGCUUCGGGCCCCACUGCCCCCCACCACUCUGCGUUUCAUGAUUGUGGCCGCCCCUCAACUGCCCAACUCCCUGAGGUCCAGUGUGAGGCUGAACAGUGUUCUUUCAGGCAGCCUACAGGAGGAGACCCGCGGGCCCGGUAGCUCUGCAGCCUGACCGCUCAGCAGGCAGCCACUAGCCUCAGGUUAGGAAGAGCAUGCAGUCCAGGGCGCAGGAGGCACGGCCCAGGGCUGGAGGAGCAGAGAAAGGUCUGCUGGCUUGCUGGGCCGACAGAGGGCCUAGGCCCCUAGGCCCUCAAGGGGCGAGUCUGGGGGAGCAGCAGGUUGGGAGAGCUGGGGCCCCGGAACCAGCAGGCCCAGUUCUCGCGGGCGCUUCUCUGGUCUCCGAGGCUGUGAUGAUGAGCACUGUCCCUGCCAGCAGCGGGCUCAGUUCUACAACUGCUGGCCCCAGCUGGGUGGCUGUGAAGAAAGGGGCUGAGUGGGCAGGCAAGAAAGGCCUCUGGUGAGGGACCUUGGAAGUGAGCCAGAAACCCUGGGACGGCGGCCAGGGCCCAGGGAAGAGAGGCAGGGAGGGGGCAGAGCGGGGGGCCAGGCCGCGGGGGGGGG